CCUCAGCCUCCUCAAGGCUGUUUGCACAUCUGUGGGGGCACUCCUGGGCUGCAGGGGAGCAGACUGAGCGUGGUGAUGGGGCCGGAGCCCAACGCAAGAUUCUUGGGUUGCAGACCAAUGCAGGAUUCGGGACCAGCAGGCUUCAGCUGACGGCAGGGAAGUGCAAAUGGGAAGAGCUUGUUUGGCUGUUGCAGGAGACACUUCCAAACGGGGACAAGCUCUCCCCAAAGGCCAGGGCGUGCUCGCUCAGCUUCAUUCCUUGUGACCGUGCUGCUGUGGCUGCAAGAACACCUCGUGUGGGUCGUUCUGCCUCGUUGGUCCCAGCAAACAGUUGGCUGCCUCCUCCUGAGCUUCUCCUGACGUCCCCUGUGCUGGCUCCACGGCCAGAUGCUCCUGGCUACCUGCAGCUAAUGAGCCAGGCUGUGGAUCCUCCGGAUGACUCAAACCGAGCACUUUUGCACCAGGAGGCAGGCUGGGGUAGGUGUGGAGCCCUGGACAGGAGUCAAGGACUGGCAAGACACCAGGAAAAUACCUGCUCAUCCUCGCUGCCUUCGGUGUAGCUAUGAUGACUUGUCCCAGCUGAUGAUCCGGCCCCGAAGCCACAAGGCAGCACCUGAGGCUGAAUCUUGCUGCUCAGUGCCUCUGGUUUCUUUGCGAGAUGCUAGCACAAUGCAGGACAGGCCCAAGCCCCCAAGGGAGCAGACAUUCCCCAUAGACUCACCGAUGCCCAGUCUCUGCCCAGAUCUGCCUCUCCCCUGGGGGACCGCGACAUCCACGCUCCAUUUGUGGCGUGCACGUUGAAGUAAGGGCAGGGUGAAAAACCAAACCAAGCCACAGCCACGCACAGAACUGGAACAGAGCCGCCCAGACGUGGCCUGUGUCCAUCCAGCUGCUUCACCCCAUGAAGCAGAGAGGGUUCCCGCGGCUGCCCGCUGCCCCGGGGAGCUUGCACAAGGGCUGUGGG